AUGAAGCAAAUUGCUCAAGGUCUGGAGGUGGAUGUUUCAAGUCAGAGAAAAAAGAACCGUGGAAGAAAGCCAAAGGACAUUAAUCUAGAUCAAAUACCUACCAUUCCACUUAACAAGCGGUCUACUAUCAGGUCACUUGCUUGGCAACUCGGUUGCAGCCCUACGACACUCCACCGGAAGUUCAUGCUG
rnacentral:rRNA from 1 species